rnacentral:rRNA from 1 species
GGCUUCGCGGCCGGCUGAAAUAUUUUUUUCACCCAUGUCUUUUGCGCACUUGUUGUUUCCUGGGCGGGUUCGCCCGCCACCAGGACCAAACCAUAAACCUUUUUUUUAAUGCAGUUGCAAUCAGCGUCAGUAAAAAACAAUGUAAUUAUUACAACUUUCAACAACGGAUCUCUUGGUUCUGGCAUCGAUGAAGAACGCAGCGAAAUGCGAUACGUAGUGUGAAUUGCAGAAUUCAGUGAAUCAUCGAAUCUUUGAACGCACAUUGCGCCCUUUGGUAUUCCAAAGGGCAUGCCUGUUCGAGCGUCAUUUGUACCUUCAAGCUUUGCUUGGUGUUGGGCGUUUUUUGUCUCCCUCUUGCUGGGAGACUCGCCUUAAAACGAUUGGCAGCCGGCCUACUGGUUUCGGAGCGCAGCACAUAUUUUGCACUCUGUGUCAGGAGAAAAGGACGGUAAUCCAUCAAGACUCUACAAAUUUUAACUUUUGACCUCGGAUCAGGUAGGGAUACCCGCUGAACUUAAGCAUAUCAAUAAGCGGAGGAA